AUGCUGGCCGCCACCGCCGCCUGCCGCGCGCCGGCGCGGCCGCUCCCCGCCGCACGACCCGGCAGCAGCUACCUCCUCGGGAGCGUCCUUCUCCCCAAACGGAGAGCGCCGGCGGCGAGGAGGAGGGGACGGAGCGCGGUGGUGCGGUGCGGGCUGCUCCCCGUGGACCCGUGGGCGCCCGGCGUCGACUCCCAGAGCAUCGCGUCGCAGCUCUUCGCCGUGUCGCUGUUCCCCUACCUGGGGUUCCUCUACUUCAUGACCCGGUCCAAGACGGCGCCCGGGCUCACGCUCUUCGGCUUCUACUUCCUCCUCGCUCGUCGGCGCCACCAUACCUGCUGGGAUAUAUGCCAAAGUUCAUUACGGGACCUCGCUUUCAAAUGUGGAUUUGCUGCAUGGGACGGCGGAAUCGCUUCUCACCCUUACCAAUCUAUUCAUUGUGCUUGGGCUGAGGGGAGCCUUGAGGAACCUGGACAAAGCAGAGGAGAGCAGUCCUGA
rnacentral:rRNA from 1 species